GGGGCGUAGUCAAAGGCUCCCUGGUCUUUCUUUCUCAUAGUGCCAGGGGCGUAGUCAAAGGCUCCCUGGUCUUCCUGCCAGGAACUAGUGGAUCAUCCAGCAUUUACCCACAUCAACAACAUAAUAUGCAAUGCAACAUAUUCGUGAUUUCUAAUGCAAGCAACCUAGAAUAUCACAUGGCAAUCGUGAUGCAUGAACAUGCUCAAAAUUUUUAUUUCAUUAAUUUAAAACUUAAGAGUUUAUUCUACUCACCUCUGGUUGGCUCUAAAGACUCUGACAAGGUACUGAAGCAGCUAGCACUGCUGGGGUCCUCGGUUCCUCGGGUCCGAACCUACAUAGGUAGACUCAAAUGAGGGACCAAACAUACUUAAACAUACCUCUAAAA
rnacentral:lncRNA from 1 species